rnacentral:lncRNA from 1 species
UCUCACAAUCCACCAGUGACACCUAGCAGUAUGUAGUGGCGAUCCAGUAGAAUGAAAAUAUGACUCCUAGGUAUAAUUAUCGUAUGAUUUAGUCCUUCUAUCUUGAGUCCUGACUUGACGGAGGUCAUGGAGAACUCGUCAAACUCCAUCGACAGUCUUACGUAAGAUUAGCUCGACUCGAGUUCAUUUAUGAAUCUCAUGAAAAUUCUUUCUCAGUAUUCAUACUUGCUUUGACCAAAGACUUUCUAAACUCAAUCUCAUAAAUUACAUAGGACUUCUCUUUUUCUAUCAAGAUCGAUAAAUUUUAUCUAGGUGCAUCCUACUCCAAACAGCGAACCUGAACCUACUGAAGCCAACAUACACAGCAAGGAUCCAAAUGGCUAGGGACCAAAGAAACGUGCAGUCAAACUCAAUAGCCUCAUUACGAAUAGUCAAUAUCACCGC